CCAAGGCGUCUACGGGUAGCCGGCCUGACAGGGUGACCGGCGACAUUGGGACUGGCAUACGGCCCAUACUCCUACGGGAGGCAGCUUUGGGGAAUAUUGCACAAUGGGGGAAAGCCUGAUGCCUUGACGCCGCGUGCGGGAUGACCGCCUUCGAGUUGUGAACCGCUUUCAUCCAUGAUUAACCCAAGGUGACGGUAGUGGGAGAAAAAUCACCGGCUAACUACGUGCCAGCAGCCGCGGUAAUACG
rnacentral:rRNA from 1 species